UUUGACCUCAAAUCAGGUAGGACUACCCGCUGAACUUAAGCAUAUCAAUAAGCGGAGGAAAAGAAACCAACAGGGAUUGCCUUAGUAGCGGCGAGUGAAGCGGCAAAAGCUCAAAUUUGAAAUCUGGCUCUUUCAGAGUCCGAGUUGUAAUUUGAAGAAGGUAUCUUUGGGUCUGGCUCUUGUCUAUGUUUCUUGGAACAGAACGUCACAGAGGGUGAGAAUCCCGUGCGAUG
rnacentral:rRNA from 1 species